rnacentral:lncRNA from 1 species
GCCAUGUAAUCCGAUGGCAUGGGUCUGAUAACAGAAAUAUAUUGUACAAAGUAUCAGAUAACAGAUACCACUAUUCUAAUCACUGGUGACUGAGUGUCGAAAUUGAUUUUUUAGAUUAUAAGUUGACAAGUUCAAUAUAUAAUCUCUAUUGGGGAGGCCAUGUAUAGCCAUAUUGAGAAUGUAUAUAUAAAAGUAAUUUUACAAGUUUUCUAAUCAAAAUUUUCAAAUCUAUUUCUCAAAGC